UACGAAGGGGGCUAGCGUUGCUCGGAAUUACUGGGCGUAAAGCGCACGUAGGCGGCUCUUUAAGUCGGGGGUGAAAUCCUGGAGCUCAACUCCAGAACUGCCUGCGAUACUGAAGAGCUCGAGUCCGGGAGAGGUGAGUGGAACUGCGAGUGUAGAGGUGAAAUUCGUAGAUAUUCGCAAGAACACCAGUGGCGAAGGCGGCUCACUGGCCCGGUACUGACGCUGAGGUGUGAAAGCGUGGGGAGCAAACAGG
rnacentral:rRNA from 1 species